CAAUAGCGUAUAUUAAAGUUGUUGCAGUUAAAAAGCUCGUAGUUGGAUUUGUGGCGUACGGUGUGUUCCGGACACUUGUUGUCUGAGUAACCUGCUGUUGCCAUCCUUGGGUGGAACCUGUGUGGCAUUAGGUUGUCGUGCAGGGGAUGCCCAUCAUUUACUGUGAAAAAAUUAGAGUGUUCAAAGCAGGCUUAUGCCGUUGAAUAUAUUAGCAUGGAAUAAUGAGAUAGGACUUUUUUGCUAUUUUGUUGGUUUGCGCAAAGAGGUAAUGAUUAAUAGGGACAGUUGGGGGUAUUCGUAUUCCAUUGUCAGAGGUGAAAUUCUUGGAUUUUUGGAAGACGAACUACUGCGAAAGCAUUUACCAAGGAUGUUUUCAUUAA
rnacentral:rRNA from 1 species